rfam:Zootermopsis nevadensis contig7013, whole genome shotgun sequence.
GGUCCCAUGGUGUAAUCGUUAGCACUCUGGACUCUGAAUCCAGCGAUCCGAGUUCAAAUCUCGGUGGGACCU